GUUGGGUAGGGGAGCGUUCUGUAAGCCUGCGAAGGUGGCCUGUGAGGGUUGCUGGAGGUAUCAGAAGUGCGAAUGCUGACAUAAGUAACGAUAAAGCGGGUGAAAAGCCCGCUCGCCGGAAGACCAAGGGUUCCUGUCCAACGUUAAUCGGGGCAGGGUGAGUCGACCCCUAAGGCGAGGCCGAAAGGCGUAGUCGAUGGGAAACGGGUUAAUAUUCCCGUACUUGGUGUUACUGCGAAGGGGGGACGGAGAAGGCUAUGUUGGCCGGGCGACGGUUGUCCCGGUUUAAGCGUGUAGGUGUGUGUUCCAGGUAAAUCCGGUUCACUUUAACACUGAGGCGUGACGACGAGGCACUACGGUGCUGAAGCAACAAAUGCCCUGCUUCCAGGAAAAGCCUCUAAGCAUCAGGUAACAUCAAAUCGUACCCCAAACCGACACAGGUGGUCAGGUAGAGAAUACCAAGGCGCUUGAGAGAACUCGGGUGAAGGAACUAGGCAAAAUGGUGCCGUAACUUCGGGAGAAGGCACGCUGACAUGUAGGUGAAGUGAUUUACUCAUGGAGCUGAAGUCAGUCGAAGAUACCAGCUGGCUGCAACUGUUUAUUAAAAACACAGCACUGUGCAAACACGAAAGUGGACGUAUACGGUGUGACGCCUGCCCGGUGCCGGAAGGUUAAUUGAUGGGGUCAGCGCAAGCGAAGCUCCUGAUCGAAGCCCCGGUAAACGGCGGCCGUAACUAUAACGGUCCUAAGGUAGCGAAAUUCCUUGUCGGGUAAGUUCCGACCUGCACGAAUGGCGUAAUGAUGGCCAGGCUGUCUCCACCCGAGACUCAGUGAAAUUGAACUCGCUGUGAAGAUGCAGUGUACCCGCGGCAAGACGGAAAGACCCCGUGAACCUUUACUAUAGCUUGACACUGAACAUUGAGCCUUGAUGUGUAGGAUAGGUGGGAGGCUUUGAAGUGUGGACGCCAGUCUGCAUGGAGCCGACCUUGAAAUACCACCCUUUAAUGUUUGAUGUUCUAACGUGGACCCGUAAUCCGGGUUGCGGACAGUGUCUGGUGGGUAGUUUGACUGGGGCGGUCUCCUCCUAAAGAGUAACGGAGGAGCACGAAGGUUGGCUAAUCCUGGUCGGACAUCAGGAGGUUAGUGCAAUGGCAUAAGCCAGCUUGACUGCGAGCGUGACGGCGCGAGCAGGUGCGAAAGCAGGUCAUAGUGAUCCGGUGGUUCUGAAUGGAAGGGCCAUCGCUCAACGGAUAAAAGGUACUCCGGGGAUAACAGGCUGAUACCGCCCAAGAGUUCAUAUCGACGGCGGUGUUUGGCACCUCGAUGUCGGCUCAUCACAUCCUGGGGCUGAAGUAGGUCCCAAGGGUAUGGCUGUUCGCCAUUUAAAGUGGUACGCGAGCUGGGUUUAGAACGUCGUGAGACAGUUCGGUCCCUAUCUGCCGUGGGCGCUGGAGAACUGAGGGGGGCUGCUCCUAGUACGAGAGGACCGGAGUGGACGCAUCACUGGUGUUCGGGUUGUCAUGCCAAUGGCACUGCCCGGUAGCUAAAUGCGGAAGAGAUAAGUGCUGAAAGCAUCUAAGCACGAAACUUGCCCCGAGAUGAGUUCUCCCUGAGACUUAAAGUCUCCUGAAGGAACGUUGAAGACGACGACGUUGAUAGGCCGGGUGUGUAAGCGCAGCGAUGCGUUGAGCUAACCGGUACUAAUGAACCGUGAGGCUUAACCUU
rnacentral:rRNA from 1 species